UCCAGUUCCCAAGACAUUGCUCAUAUCUGAAAGGGCACUUGGCUGGCUGGCAGGAACAAGAGGAGAGGCACCAAAUGGGGUCACCUGGCUGCUGCCUGUGAAAAGAAAUGAGACAGCCACAUUUUUCUGAUUUCUGACUUCAAAAGAUGAGAAAGGCUGUCCUUGCCCAACAUCCUAAUAGUGUCCUAUCUUGCCAAAAUCAGAUCAUUUAAAGGGGCAGAAAUAAAGGAGGUGAGUAGGAGUGAGUCAAUAAUUUUUUUUUUGCUUGUUCUCCUUUACCACCUGCUAUGGAAUCAGUUCCACCUAAGAAGUCAAUCAGCUACAAUCUGACCAGUUUGAUUGUUCCUCAUUAAUAACAACAACUAUCAUUUAUAUAUCACUUUAAAGUCUGCAAAACCCUGUAUUUCAUUUGGGUCUCCCAAUCACCCGGUUAGACAGAAACUACAGUUAUUUUCUAAUAAAAAUCUAUGAACAGGGCUCAAUGGAUGGAGAGUCAGAAAGGAGGUACUGUGUUCAAAACUGCCCAAGACAAAACUUCCUAGCUAUGUGACCCCAAGGAGAUCAUUAAACCUUCAAAGCCUAGUCUUUAUUAUUCUCUUUUGUCUUGGAGCCAAUACACUGUAUUGAUUCUAAGACCACAGAUAAGGGUUUAAAAAAAAAUCUGAUCAGAUUAAAGUAAACCAAAUAUUAUCUGGGUUUUUCAUCAUCUAAAGCAGAGGUUCUUAACCUUUUGUGUCACAGGAGACAGAUGACGUCUAUAGGCACUUUCUCAGAAUAACAUUUUUAAAAGAAUAUAUCAAAAACAUAGGAUUAUAAAGGAAGCCAAUUAUAUCAUCAUAGUUAUCAAAAUAUUAAAAACAAAGUUCAUGUUUCCCAGGAUGAAAAAACCCAGAUAAAACGUGUCACAUUGAAUGGGGACUGGUUUUGGGGACAGGAAGGAGACAUAAGAGGGCUCUGAGGUAUCUGAAAAUCAUAUGCCCACUAAAUAGUAAUCCUUAGAAUCCAAGAGCUCUGGUCUUGCACAGGGAAGAAGCUGUCUCCUAUGGGACAAAAUGGGACAAAUCAUCAGACAUGUAUGCUUUUUUCCAUUCUCUACAGAGGAAACCCCUUCUAUCCACAUGUGUUCUAACCAUUCCUCUUGGGUAAAGAAAGCACACUCCAUCCUUCUCUUUACGCUACCAGGACGAAAACCCAGAGAAUGAGUCAUGUCAAAGGGGUCCCAUCUUUAUCCUUGAGAUCCAAUGCUUCUUUGAAUUCUAAACACUGUAGCCUUGUGAAAAGUUUUAGGUGCUUGCAUUUGCCUAUGGCAAAUCACCUAAUCUCUGGGCUAAAAUCAUUUAUCUUAUACAAAUAUCAAGACAGUCCACAGACAAUACUCUGAUCAAUUAAAAGCAUCAUAAAAGUUGGAUUGAAUACUGUGCUAAUUAUUGAUACAAAGUAGUUAACAGCAAUCCUUUCAACUUCACAAAACCAAUUGCCUUAUCUAUAAGCUGAAAGUGUUGGACUAGAUUACAGAUUUAGGGCCAGAAGGGAUUUAAAGAGAGUCUCAUUUUAUGAAUGAAUUGAGGUCUCAAGGUAGGUGAACUGACUUGAUCAGAUCAAUCAAAUAAAAUGCAGGUCCUCUGACUCAAUUCUCCUAAUGUGUCAUGCUGCAUUUUUGGUAACCCUUUUCUUCCCUUUUAGAAUCAAUACUGGGUAAGGAUUCCAGGGCAGAAGAGUGGUAAGGCCUAGGCAAUGAGGUCAUACAGCCCAGGGACACACAACCAGAAAGUAUCUGAAGCCAUAUUUGAACAUAGGACCUCCUCUCAAUCCACUGAGCCACCUAGUUGCCUCCAAUCCUGCAUGUUAAGGUCAAUUCCAGUUCUAAAUUUAUGAAAAGGAUCACAAAGCAAGAUUCAAACCCUGACCUUUUGACAUGAUCAUGCCAGGAUGCCUUUCUCAUUUCCCUUACUAAAGCAAUAAGCUUCUUAAGGGCAAAAAAAUUUGCUGUUCCAGUUAGCACCCCUCUUCAAUAAAUCCUUAAUAACAUACAUGAGGCAUCAAUGGGGCAUGGAACCAAGAACCAGGAAAAUGUCUCUCUGACGUCAUUCUGGCUGUGGAGCACUGGUCAAGUUAUUUAACCUCUCAGUGAUUUAGGCAAUUCUCUAAGAUUAUAAAUUGAAGAAAAAGUACUGACCAGUAAGAGCAAUGAAUUUCCUUACCCUAUUGCAGUGAAAUUAGAGAAGAAAGAAAUAAGUAUUUAUUAAGUGCCUACAUUUGAAGUAUCAUCCACAUUUUAUAGCUGGUGAAACUGAGGCAAAUACAAGAUAAGUGAUAUAGCUAUUAAAGUAAUUCAUAUAGCUAUUAAGUGUCUUGGGUCUUUCUGGCUUCAAGCUAUAGCUUUAUUCACUGGACCAUCUUGCUGUCUCAAGCUGACCCAGACUAUGAUCUUAUAAUUUCAACCUUGAUGAUUCAUGCUGCAGGUAAAGUUUGAAUUAGGAAUUUGGGUUGGCAAACUUUUGUUGUAAAAAAGAGCCUGUCAUUUUAAGCUUUGCAGAUCAUGGGGCAAAAAUUGAGGAUAUUCACGGGGGGUGGGAGGGAGGAAAAGAAAAUGAUCUUUGUCUUUAAUGAAAAAUGCAUGGAAAUGAUCAAAUAAAAUACUAUAAAAUUAAAAAAAAAAAGACCAAGCAUGAGCUAGAAAAAAAUAAAAAAAUGUAAAAUCAAUAAUUUUGAUUACAUCAAAUUAAAAAGUUUUUGUACAAACAAAACUAAUGCAUCCAAAAUGAGAAGGGAAGCAACAAAUUGGGAAACAAUCUUCAUAACAAAAACCUCGGACAAAGGUCUAAUUACUCAAAUUUAUAAAAAACUAAACUAAUUGUACAAAAAAAAAAUCAAGCCAUUCUCCAAUUGAUAAAUGGUCAGGGGACAUGAAUAGGCAAUUUUCAGUUAAAGAAAUCAAAACUAUUAAUAAGCACACAAAAAAGUGUUCUAAAUCUCUUAUAAUCAGAGAAAUGCAAAACAAAACAACUCUGAGGUAUCGCCCCACACCUAGCACCUUGGCUAACAUGACAGCAAAGGGAAGUAAUGAAUGCUGGAGGGGAUGUGGCAAAGUUGGGACAUUAAUGCAUUGCUGGUGGAGUUGUGAAUUGAUUCAACCAUUUUAGAGGGCAAUUUGGAACUAUGCCCAAAGGGCAAUAAAAGACUUUGAUCCAGUCAUAGCACUGCUGGGUUUGAACCCCAAAGAGAUAAUAAGGAAAAAGACAUGUACAAAAAUAUUCAUAGCUGCACUCUUUGUGGUGGCCAAAAACUGGAAAAUGAAGGGAUGCCCUUUAUUUGGGGAAUGGCUGAACAAAUUGUGGUAUAUGUUGGUGAUGGAAUACUAUUGUGCUCAAAGGAAUAAUAAAGUGGAGGAAUUCCAUGGGAACUGGAAUGACCUCCAGGAAUUGAUGCAGAGUGAGAGGAGCAGAACCAGGAGAACAUUGUACACAGAUACUGAUACUCCGUAGUACAAUCAAAUGUAAUGGACUUUUCCAUUAGUGGCAAUGCAAUGAUCCUGAACAACUUGGAGGAAUUUACAAGAAAAACCACUAUCCACAUUCAGAGGAAAAAUUGGGAGUAGAAACACAGAAGAAAAACAACUGCUUGAAUACAUGGGUCAAGGGGAUAUGGCUUGGGAAGUAGACUCUAAACGAACAUCCUAAUGCAAACACCAACAACAUGGAAAUAGGUUUGGAUCAAGGACACAUGUAAUACCCAAUGAAAUUGCGCGUUGACUGCGGGAAGGGUGGGUUGAGAGGAAGGAGGGAAAUAAUGUGAUUAUUGUAACCAAGGAAUAAUGUUCUAAAUUGACUAAAUAAAUUAAUUCAAAAAAUAAAAAAAAAUUGAGGAUAUUAUAUACUUGUAACUACAGAAAAAAUGGAUUUCUACAAUUUUUUAGUGAAAAUAAAAAUAAAAUCAUAAUAGAAAAA